AACCCAGUAUAAAAAUCUUAGAAAAUGCAGGCUGAGGACAGAGUUUUCUACUGAUGGUUUCCCUUUGUAAUCUGGGAUUACCCUCUCACUGCUAGUAAUUUUCAAGAAUGGGUGAUGCAGCUCAGAAAUUAUUCUGCUCUAACAAUAGUGACUGUGGCAGAUUAUUUAAAGGCCACAAAUUCUCCCCCCCAGAGUAUGCAUGCCCCUUUGCAGAAAUGACAUGUGAGCCUUAAAAGACCUUGCCAGUUUCCACUUUUGCCCUCUUGGAAUACUGCCAUGAGACUGUUAGGUAAGAAAUCCAGUCUAGCCCACUGAAGAAGUAAGGCAGUCUAGCAUUAACUACUGGACAUGUGAAUGAACCCAUUUUGGACACUCUAGCCCAGCCAAUCCUCUAGCUGGAUGCAACUGCAUGAGAGAGCCUAGGUAAAACUAGCAGAGGAACUGCUUAGCGAACUCGAACACUGUGAGGAAUAAUCAGUUGUUUCAAGUCACCAAAUUUUGAACUGGGUUUUUAUGCAAGAACAGAUAACUGAUAACAGUGAAUAAUGUCUGCGUGUCUACUAGAAAACUACAGGGAGUAUCAGCUGGCACUCUAUCACAGAGAAACACUGACAAAGUGUUUCUUUUCCCUGAUUUCAUUGUAAUAAGCCACAUUCCAAUUAUGGAAAACUCACUCAGCUGCAGGAACCAUAAAGAAAUCUGGAAUGGAACUCACAGUUGGUGUUGAACCUCACUCCUACCCCACUAGGAACCCAUCCCAUUACUGAUAUUAAACUCUAGGUCCAUCUUAUUACUCACGCUUCUCGAUCUUCUCUGUCCCUCUUGAUUCUCUUUAGCUCCCGGACUUUCCAUGCCUCAUAUUCUUCCUCAUCAUUUUCAUCAUCAGUAUUGAGAGCAUCCAGUGCAGCCAGGGAUCGCUUGUUCUCCUCCAGCUCUUUCUUGGUCUCCUCUUCUACAAUCUGGGUAGAGCCCUAUAUUCCUGGUAAGCAAGAGUUCAAGCAGGAGAAGAAGAGAGCUGCUAUCCAACCAUCUAUUCAUCUAAUGGUGUUUUCCUGCCAAGACCAAGUCAUGGGAAAACAUUCUUGUGACUACCAACACUAAUGAUAAAGAAGUUGUCCCCAGGCUGAUUCUAAAAUCACAUGGAAGAAUAAGAGGCCAAAAAGAACCAAGACAAUUCUGAAGAACAAGGGGAGGCCGAAGAAUUUAACACACCUCACCAAAGAAGAUACACAGAUGGCAAAUAAGCAUAUUUGCUUCAAAUCAUAUGUUGUCAGGGAAAUGCAAAAUAAAAUGAGAUACCACUGCACAUGUAUUAGAAUAACCAAACUACAGAGCUCUGACAACACCAAAUGCUGGCGAGAAUGUGGACUAACAAGAACUCUCAUUUGUUACUGGUGGGAAUGCAAAAUGGCACAGCCACUUUGGAAGACAGUUUGGUGGUUUCUUAUAAAACU